rnacentral:rRNA from 1 species
AUUGAACGCUGGCGGAAUGCUUUACACAUGCAAGUCGAACGGCAGCACGGACUUCGGUCUGGUGGCGAGUGGCGAACGGGUGAGUAAUGUAUCGGAACGUGCCCAGUCGUGGGGGAUAACGUAGUGAAAAUUACGCUAAUACCGCAUACGAUCUAUGGAUGAAAGCGGGGGAUCGCAAGACCGCGCGCGAUUGGAGCUGCCCAUAUCAGAUUAGGUAGUUGGUGGGGUAAAGGCCCACCAAGCCAACGAUCUGUAGCUGGUCUGAGAGGACGACCAGCCACACUGGAACUGAGACACGGUCCAGACUCCUACGGGAGGCAGCAGUGGGGAAUUUUGGACAAUGGGCGAAAGCCUGAUCCAGCCAUUCCGCGUGCAGGAUGAAGGCCCUCGGGUUGUAAACUGCUUUUGUACAGAACGAAAAGGUUUCUACUAAUACUAGGAGCUCAUGACGGUACUGUAAGAAUAAGCACCGGCUAACUACGUGCCAGCCGCCGCCGUAA